CUCCCGAUUUUUGCUCCAGCCCCCCAACCUUUCCUCCUUCUCCUUGACGCCACGGCCGCCACACUUGGAACCGAUCUCUGCCGUUGGUACCAAACGAACCACCACUCGACCGCCGACGUUUCUUGACCCUUCGCCGGAGUUUCCGUGGCCGGUGAUCGCCGGAAAACUCCAUUUUCGCCGGAUUUCCAGUUUGAACUUUGAGCUCGAUUUUCUCCUUCACUUCUCCACCAAAUCGAUCGAGUAAGGCACCAGAAGUCCAAUCGACUUGCAGGAAGGACCUUCGAAGGGUCCAAUUAGCUCGGACCAUCAGCCGUAGAAGUGCGCAGGAUCCACCACCGGGCCAUCCCUAGCUUCCGCGCCACCAAGUAUUGAGUUUUGUGGAAAAGUUCUUGAAACUCUGUGAACUUUAGAAAAUGCUCUGAUAUCUAGUUUUAGUGGAAAACUGGAGCUGGUGAAUACUUAGUUAUUCUCUUCUGGCAGUUGGUGUAGAUUUUUUUGUUUGUUGGACAGGUGAAAAAAUUUGGGUUUGGUCAAAUUACAGGGGAGACUCUGCCGAAUUUUCGGCAGAAGUCUAAGGGAAAUUUUAAAAGAAUUUUGAACGAGAAGGGUAAGAAGGUCUUUUGUGCCCGACAUUCGCCAGGUGUCGGACACGCACAGGACUUGGCUCGAAUUUCAAAGCGGAAAUUGGGUCGGGUCCUGUCGUAGUUGGCUUGAUAAGACCAUUUUAAAAUCCAGGGGGCUUUAUACCAUGCUUCAAUAUAAUCGGCAUAGUUGUAUUGGAGAGUUGACUGGAGGGUUUGCAGAUCAUAAGGGUGGCUUCUGAAUUCUUCUUGACUUAAGAUUCGGUGGAUGUAGAGAGAAUGGUAAAGGAUAAUUGGGGUUUCUCUCAGUCUUUGGUGGGUUUGAUUUCAACUGAAUAGGUCUCAUUGAGAAUAUCCCUGUAAAAUUUGAGGGAUUUGUAAGGGCUUGGGGGCAUAAAAUGAUGAUUCGGAGGGAAAUAAGAUGUUGGCUAUUUCGACUGGAUUGGUGAUUUUGUCAUAAACGGGCUCAUAAUGAAAAGGUGCGAACUAUCUUUUGGGAAAUAAGGGGAUGAUUUUUUGAGGGGAGAAGGAGAUUGGGCAACUUGGGAGGGGAUUUGGAAGGGAUCAUAACUGGAGACUAAAGCAGACUGGUAAUUGAGACGGAUUUGACCGACUGUGGUCCCUAAACUGGAAAAUCUAUUACUGAUUUGGAUUGGAGAGCAUCCCGGGAAAAGGACUAUCUGGGAUGGUAAUUCUGUUUUGACUGGGUUUAUUGAAGGGGGAAGGAUUCUGAGCGACUGGGAUGACUUAGUUUGAUUGGCUUGCUCUUUUUGUUUGUCUUUUCUGGCAGCCAUUGUUUAUCUUGCAAAAAUUCUCUAGUAAGGAAAUAAGGAAUAGAAUUCUCACUUUCUCUCAAAUAUUCAAU